GCCUGGGUGGCUCAGUCGGUUGAGCAUCUGACUUCGGCUCAGGUCGUGAUCUCACAGCUUGGGGGUUCGAGCCCCCCGUCGGGCU
rnacentral:tRNA from 2 species